rnacentral:rRNA from 1 species
UACGUAGGGGGCGAGCGUUGUCCGGAGUUACUGGGCGUAAAGGGCAUGCAGGCGGUCGGACGCGUUUUGUGUGACAGCGGAUGGCUUACCUAUCCGAGCAUACGAAAGACGGUUGGACUUGAGGACUCGAGAGGGACACGGAAUUCCGGGUGGAGUGGUGAAAUGCGUAGAGAUCCGGAGGAACACCGAAGGCGAAGGCAGUGUCCUGGCGAGUGACUGACGCUGAGGUGCGAAAGCCAGGGGAG